rnacentral:misc_RNA from 1 species
GGAUGAAAGUGGACACCGUGAGAAUGGACGGCACAAAGCAGAUCAGUAUAAGUCGGCUCAAGGUGGUCCGUGGAUGAUGCAGCAUCAACCAUCAAUGAAGCAGAUAAUGACAAUUAUGGCUGAAAGAGAUGCGGCCCUUCAAGAGAGGAAUUUGGCCCUUUCCGAGAAGAAGGCUGCACUAGCGGAGCGAGACAUGGCUUAUCUACAGCGAGACGCUGCGAUUGCAGAGAGAAACAAUGCACUUUUGGAACGGGACAAUGCCAUUGCUACACUUCAGUAUCGUGAAAACUCCCUAACAAAUAACAUGUCAUGUCCACCAGGAUGCCAAAUUGCUAGAGGAGUGAAGCAUAUACAUCAUCCACAGCAGCAACAACACCCGCAUGUGCCCCACAUGAAUGAGAGUAAUUAUAAUUCCAGAGAAAUGCAUCCUUCAAACGAUGCUUGCCCGGUAUCCCCUGUUGCUUCUGAAUCAACAAAGGCACGGCAAAGCAAGCGUCCAAAGGAGGGAAAGACAGUUACAACACCAAACAAGAAGGUUUCAAAAGGUCCAAGGAAGGUCAAAAGAGAGGCUGAAGACUUGAAUAAGGUAAUGCUGGGCAAGUCACAAGAAUGGAAGGAUGGAAUUGGGAUCAUGAGUGGAGGUGAUGAUCUUAAUAAACAGUUGGUAGUAUCAAAGUCGGAUUGGAAGGGACAGGAUUUAGGAUUGAACCAGGUUGCCUUUGAUGAAUCAACCAUGCCAGCUCCAAUAUGCUCCUGCACAGGAGUUAUCAGACAAUGCUACAAAUGGGGAAAUGGUGGAUGGCAAUCUGCAUGUUGUACUACCACCAUCUCAAUGUAUCCAUUACCCGCUGUUCCCAACAAACGACACGCCCGACUCGGUGGUCGGAAAAUGAGCGGAAGUGCUUUCAACAAGCUGCUUAGCCGCCUUGCAGCUGAAGGUCACGAUCUGUCAGCUCCAGUUGAUCUUAAAAAUCACUGGGCAAAGCAUGGAACAAAUCGUUACAUCACCAUCAAGUAGUCACUAGCUUAUUAAGGAAGUAGGGCAGAGAGUAGAAAAAAUGGAGGAAAUUCCCAAAUUAGCUCAAGGCACACUGCCUCAGAAUUUCCUUCCACUUUCAGCAAAAGAAUAAAGGAUAGCAUAACAGCCAUAAAGAAAAGGAGUUAGAAGCUAUCUGUGCCUCUCUCACUUUCACCAAGUUUACUCGAGAGCAAGGAUAGAGUCAAGUGCGUCAAAGGGCAAUUUUUUUUUACUUUCCUCUUUGUUUGAAGUGACUUUCAUUAGGCCUUGCUCUGUAAAGGCUUGGCGAGAUCCUGCUUGCUUCAAAAUAACUGUAAAGGUAUGUGCUUAUUAUUAUUAAGGGUUGUACUUAAUAUCAGAAUAUGGCCGUCAUCAUUUUGUAGUCUGCCGUCUGUAUCAUCUCUCAAGAUGUAUCUGUUGUUUAUGCAUCAAUGAAACUUAAUCCAUUAGGUACGGU